rnacentral:rRNA from 1 species
AUUGAACGCUGGCGGCAGGCUUAACACAUGCAAGUCGAGCGAGCGGCGGACGGGUGAGCAGUGUCUGGGAAACUGCCUGACGGACGGGGAUAACUACUGGAAACGGUAGCUAAUAGCGCAUACCAUACUUUGUGCCCUCAGGGGAUUAGCUAGUCGGUGGGGUAAUGGCUCACCUAGGCGGCGAUCCCUAGCUGGUCUGAGAGGAUGACCAGCCACACUGGAACUGAGACACGGUCCAGACUCCUACGGGAGGCAGCAGGAGGGAAUAUUGCACAAUGGGAGCAAGCCUGAUGCAGCCAUGCCGCGUGUGUGAAGAAGGCCUUCGGGUUGUAAAGCACUUUCAGCGAGGAGGCGUUACUCGCAGAAGAAGCACCGGCUAACUCCGUGCCAGCAGCCGCGGUAAUAC